GUAACAUAGUUUAGUUAGAGAUCAUCUGUUUCACAUGCAGAUGGCCCCAGGUUCAUUCCCUGGCAUCUCCA